UACGGAGGGUGCGAGCGUUGUCCGGAUUUAUUGGGCGUAAAGAGCGUGUAGGCGGCCAUACAGGUCAGCUGUGAAAACUCGAGGCUCAACCUCGAGACGUCGGUUGAAACCGUAUGGCUAGAGUCCGGAAGAGGAGAGUGGAAUUCCCGGUGUAGCGGUGAAAUGCGCAGAUAUCGGGAAGAACACCCGUGGCGAAGGCGGCUCUCUGGGACGGUACUGACGCUGAGACGCGAAAGCGUGGGGAGCAAACAGG
rnacentral:rRNA from 1 species